UACGUAGGGUGCAAGCGUUAAUCGGAAUUACUGGGCGUAAAGCGUGCGCAGGCGGUCUUGUAAGACAGAGGUGAAAUCCCCGGGCUCAACCUGGGAACUGCCUUUGUGACUGCAAGGCUGGAGUACGGCAGAGGGGGAUGGAAUUCCGCGUGUAGCAGUGAAAUGCGUAGAUAUGCGGAGGAACACCGAUGGCGAAGGCGGCCCUCUGGUCCAGUACUGACACUCAAGUGCGAAAGCGUGGGGAGCAAACAGG
rnacentral:rRNA from 1 species